CAUUAAGUGGCUGAGCACAAGCAAUGGAAUUUUAAACCAUUUUACAGUAGAAAUUUACUCUUAAUG
rnacentral:tRNA from 1 species